AGAAGAAAAAAAAAAAAAAAAACAGAAAUCAUGUGAUUUUCAUUUCUCUUAAACAUAGAAGACCAUAUCAUUAAUUUAAAAAAAAAAUACAUUACAAAUGGCUACAAGGUUUGACAUUAUAGAUAAGGCACUUAGGCCCAAAUCAAAGAGAAGCUAACUAAUCCAUUUAAAAUCCAAUACAAAUAGCGCUCUGUAAAAACCGAACUUAAUUGAAAAAUUGAAAUGAAUCGAGUCUGUUUGGUUCAAUCAGUUUGAUUUUUUAGUUGGUUCAGUUUGAUUUGAUUUUUAGUUUUUAAUAUUUUUAGUUUUUCAGUUUGAUUUGAUUCUUGUAAAGAAAAAUAGAAAACCAAGCCAAACCGAUUUUCCUCUCUAAAGUGUAAAUUGAACCGUUUUUCCUCUCUAAAUCCGAUUUAAUCUCCCUAUAUAUAUAUAAGAUGUUAUCCCUAAACCUUAACCAUUUACCCAUUCUCAGUCGCCUCUACCAAACAGUCAAUAACCUAGCCCUCACUUCUCUCUCUCUGCUCUCAAACAUCACAGACUCUCUUUCUCCUCUUCCUCUUCUUCUUCACAUCACCAUCAACCCAUCUUCACGCUUCUUCUUCUUCAAUGCAGCAUGCCAACAUCAUCACCACUGUUCAGUCAUCACUCAUGCAUCAUCUUCUGCGUCUUCAAUUAUCACACUCAAAUCCCAAAUGGGUAAAGUUAAGAUGCUAUUUGAAUUUGAGAUC
rnacentral:misc_RNA from 1 species